GUUUUUUGUUUGGUUGGUUUUUUUUGUCUUGAGAUUUAAAUUGGUUUUCUGGCUUGGUUGUAAAGAUUUGGAAGAAAAGUGUGGAUCCCCAAAGGAGGGAAGCAGCACAUUUAAAAUGCAGCCACAGAAGAUUUUGUAAUCCCUGGAGACUCUGGAUUUAACUGCAUCAGGCAGAAAGUUUCUCCUCUUCAUCCCUGAAGCUCAGCAGCAAAGUUGUUCCAAGCACCUGGAAGGAAUAAGAGCUUACAAUGCCUGUGGUACUCCCCCCUGGAAUCUGAAGGGAAGGAUCACACUGAAAAUUGUGAUUUUAAAAAAAAUUUAAAAAUAAGCAGAGAAAGCCCAAAAAGGUAAGAAAGUAAACACUCGGACAUUUCAUUUUAUAUGAUAAAAUAUGAAGAUUUUAACAGUUC